GUUGACCUCGGAUCAGGUAGGGAUACCCGCUGAACUUAAGCAUAUCAAUAAGCGGAGGAAAAGAAACCAACAGGGAUUGCCUUAGUAACGGCGAGUGAAGCGGCAACAGCUC
rnacentral:rRNA from 1 species